AUCCGUUACACACACACACCACACGUUAGCAACAGUUCACUAAAAGCAAAGGAAAAUCCACUCUCUGAUGUCAAGCUAUGACCCAUUAAUUAUUGAUUGCAUUGGAAUUCAGCGUUAGUUGCACAUAAAUUCACUUACCUGUUGGAUCACUGCAUUGGAACUAUGGAAAAAGAUCAGUGGAUUUUGAAAUUUACUCUCAGGUGUUUGGGUACACCAAUAGGCGUAUUUGCACCCCAGUGAAACAAGACGCAUUCUAGAAAAUUCUGGGAAUGUUAUCCAAUCAUGAAUUACCUGACAGGAUUGAAAUCAACUAGCAAUCGUUGGGGGAAGGCAUUUUAACUUUAUAUACCUCUUAGUUUUAAUAUAAUGGUGCGCAAAAUUCAGACAGAAAACGCACGCGACCUGCUGUUGAAUGUUUGUGAAUGUUUUGCAAGUGCUACAAAAGAAACAAAUAGAAUCUCUUAUAGAAUAUCAAUCAUGAAGCAAAGAUAGAUCGCUGCCAAUAACCUAAGAAUCCGAAAAACGUUCCGUGGAACAUACAUAAGGAUAUGGGUAAACGUGUCCAAUUGGAACUGGCUUGUGCAAUGCAACGAGAAAAGUGAUGCCAUAUGAGUUCAGUGGAGGGCAGAAUCAGGAGUUUCACUAUCAGCCUUCGCCUAAACUAAGAUUAAAUAUGCAAAGGGACAGAAAGCAGUAAAUGUUUGGUCUAUUGCUAUACACAAUCACACGGAUCCCAUUCAGUGUUGACUGCGCUUAUUAAAAUCCGUUUUCCAAUGAGUUAUUUCUGUAAUUUGUUAACAUAAAAAAUCUCGAUUCUUGCAAAACAUUAUUUUCGGAACAUCACGUUUCAAAGUUAGGUGACGAGUAAAUGAAGUACCACCACCUCAACCAGUUUUAUUCCCCACAUUUCACAGUUUAAAUAAUGUCUCCUUUGGGACCGCAUAUGUUUCAAUGUAGGGAGAUUGGAAAUAGUUGAGAUAUUUUGACCAAAAUCUGGAUUACUGGAGGUGUUUGAGACCUUCUUUGGAAAAUAACUAUUGUGACAAUCAUAAAAAACGACAAGGUCAUAAAAUUUUAAGCGUGAUUCUCUAGUGAACAGAAAAAGAGGAAAUGGGUUUAAUUUUUUUUGUUAGCAUUUCAAGAGCAGAGGUUAGGGCCACAGCAUUUUACUAUUUUAGUCUUAGACUGCAAACAUCCACAGGUCUCGGCAGAGCAGCAAUAUAAUUUAUUACACUUGUCUUUACUAUAGCUAAUUUGGUCAGUUGGCGAGAGGUGUUGAAACGCUAUGACUUAUAAAUCGAGGAACUUUCACGGACUACUCUUUCACGUACCUCAUUUAAAUAUAUAUGUAUUUUUUUUAAAAAGUCAGAUUCCAUUUUACCAUAACAAACACAACGCAUAUUGACCCAGGCAUGUUACAUCCAUUCAACAUAGUAUUCCAAAUGGUAAUUUUCUACCGAAUUUAUAUUAUUUAGUGAUUUAUAUUAUCGUGCGUCUCUCGUUUAAUGUGUGAAUUUUCUUUUGACUUUUUUUGUUCAUUGUCUUUCUCCUUUAAGGGACAGCGUGAAGAGUUCCACAACUGCUCCCAGAAAAUAAAAGGAGUUUUUAUUUAUAAAUUUACGGGGUAAAGACUUUUCUGGGGUUGACGUAAAAUGUCACUGUUUAAAUAUUAGGAAACAUGAGUAGGUUGCACCGUGGUCCAAUCCUCUGCUUCGUCAUGGUUUGGUACAGUUCCCGGGGAGAAAAAGAUGAAUACAAUCUAUAGGAGAGAGAAAAAGAGACGGUGAUCAUUUAAACAAGAACUGGCAUUUCUCGAUCAGUGGUGCUGGAAUAAAAUUGGAAAAUGUUCUGAAGCUUUUGGAAAAUGAAGAAAAUCGACAUCUUCGAAGUUUGUCAAUCUUUGAAGGAAUUUUGUGGCUUCAUACUGUGUUCUCAUUUAAAGGACACAACUGCUAUUCAGAUUGAGAAAACACAGAUAUUACGUUGUGUUACUGACCAAAGUAGCCUUUUUCAAUCAAGUUCUGUAGCUAUUCUGUUUCACUCCAUGCAAAUAUGUGUUUAUUUACUGUAUACAUAUAAUAUCUGCAUACAUAAGAGAACAGCAUCGUAUAUAUCUUGUUGGUCAAAAUUGUCCUGAACUAGCGUAAUUACUAUAACGUUUCAUAAAAUUCUAUAUCUAUA